UUAUUACUUCACUACAAUUGAGGCGACGGUUCUUCUUCUCCAAGUGCAACGUCUCAUCCCGUUUUUCAUUUCAUCAUACACCUCUCUUUUCGUAUAAUCAUACACUAAUCUUCCCCAUAUAUUUGUCUUCCUCCCAUUAACUUAAAUAAAUGAUUCAAAUGCUUCUCACUUAUCAUUUUUCUCAAAUCACGGUUCUCGCUUAUCAUCUUCCACAAAUCGUCAUCUGUUUUUUUCACUCCAAGUUCAAAGCUUUCAUAUUUGGUUAGGAUAUAUGAAAUUUUCCAUGUUUUUGAAAAUAUGAGUGGAAGUCCUUGGAUACUCCACUGUCCAUUCUCCGUAUACUAAGAUGGUACACAUCAAAGAACGAUGAUUUAGUUGAAGGUGAUCCAUUCAAGUAUAAGGGGGGAGAAGUAUGAAUAUAUGCAUUUAUUUGUCAUUAUUAACAAUAAUUAUAUAUUAGUAAAUAUUGUGUAAUAUUUAUAUGUUUUUUAGAUUGUGCACCCAUACCUCAUCCCUAUUGUCUAUGAGAAGGAACAAAAUUACUUGAAAUUUUUUAAGCCAUAUACGGAUGAAGUGAAGCACGUAGUCAUCGAUGUAUUGAAGUCCCAAUCAAAAGGUGUGACCGUCCUCACUAAAGGUGAUGAAUAUUUGGGUGAUUACAAUGUACAUUAUGUGAGUUUUGUUUCUAGUAGACAGAAAAAUGUACCGAGUACUUCAAUGAUGAGAAUUUAAAAAAGAAUAGAGAUCAUAUCUUAUCCAUUGAGCAAUCAAUGAUUGAAGUUGUUCCAUGUGUACGGGAAGAAAAGUUGAGGAGAAUUGACGGAAAAAAAACAAAAAAACAAGAAAAAGUUGAUGAAGACUUUGCUACAAUUAAUGAAUAGUUUACGAAUAAAGUAGAUGAAGCAUCAGUUGAUGUUGUGGCAGUUGAUAAAGUGGCAGGUGAUGGUGUGGCAGUUGAUGAUGUUGUUGAUGAAAUGGUAUGUGAAGUUCAUGAAGUGACAAGUGUUGAUGUUGUUGCUUAAGUGACAAGUAGUGAAGUGACAGGUGCAGUUGAGCCAAUAACAGUUGUUGAUGAAGUUACAGGUGUUAAUGUUGUUGAUGAAGUGGCAGGUGAAGUUGAUGAAGUGGUAGGUGCAGUUGAUCCAUCAAGUGACAGUUGUUAAUGAUGUGGCAGAUGCAGUUGAUCUAGUAACAAUUGAUGUUGUUGAUGAAGUUGCAACUGAUGAUGUUGCAAUUGGUGAAGUGACAGCUGAUGGUAUUGAUGAAGUGACAAAUGGUGUAGUGGCAGCAGAUGUUAUUGAUAAAAUAACAAAUGUUAAAGUGGCAGAUCCAAUGACAGUUGAUGAUGUUGAUGAAGUGGCAAAAGAAAAGAAGGAAGAACAAAAAAAGAUGACACCGUUGAAGUGGAUGUCAUGAGUAUCAUUAUGAAACUUAAUGGUGACCAAAAAAACAACAAUUGAAAUGGUUUUGUGGUAUUUGACAUCUUAAGAACAAUGAUGUUUGUUGUUUUGCUGUUCUGUGGAGAAAA